CUACGGGGGGCAGCAGUGGGGAAUAUUGCACAAUGGGCGCAAGCCUGAUGCAGCCAUGCCGCGUGUAUGAAGAAGGCCUUCGGGUUGUAAAGUACUUUCAGCGGGGAGGAAGGGAGUAAAGUUAAUACCUUUGCUCAUUGACGUUACCCGCAGAAGAAGCACCGGCUAACUCCGUGCCAGCAGCCGCGGUAAUACGGAGGGUGCAAGCGGUAAUCGGAAUUACGGGGCGUAAAGCGCACGCGGGCGGUUUGUUAAGUCAGAUGUGAAAUCCCCGGGCUCAACCUGGGAACUGCAUCUGAUACUGGCAAGCUUGAGUCUCGUAGAGGGGGGUAGAAUUCCAGGUGUAGCGGUGAAAUGCGUAGAGAUCUGGAGGAAUACCGGUGGCGAAGGCGGCCCCCUGGACGAAGACUGACGCUCAGGUGCGAAAGCGUGGGGAGCAAACAGGAUUAGAUACCCGCGUAGUC
rnacentral:rRNA from 1 species